rnacentral:rRNA from 1 species
GAUGAACGCUGGCGGCGUGCCUAAUACAUGCAAGUCGAGCGAAUGGAUUAAGAGCUUGCUCUUAUGAAGUUAGCGGCGGACGGGUGAGUAACACGUGGGUAACCUGCCCAUAAGACUGGGAUAACUCCGGGAAACCGGGGCUAAUACCGGAUAACAUUUUGAACCGCAUGGUUCGAAAUUGAAAGGCGGCUUCGGCUGUCACUUAUCGAUGGACCCGCGUCGCAUUAGCUAGUGGGUGAGGUAACGGCUAACCAAGGCAACGAUGCGUAGCCGACCUGAGAGGGUGAUCGGCCACACUGGGACUGAGACACGGCCCAGACUCCUACGGGAGGCAGCAGUAGGGAAUCUUCCGCAAUGGACGAAAGUCUGACGGAGCAACGCCGCGUGAGUGAUGAAGGCUUUCGGGUCGUAAAACUCUGUUGUUAGGGAAGAACAAGUGCUAGUUGAAUAAGCUGGCACCUUGACGGUACCUAACCAGAAAGCCACGGCUAACUACGUGCCAGCAGCCGCCGUAA